GCUUAACACAUGCAAGUCGAGGGGCAGCAUGGUCUUAGCUUGCUAAGGCCGAUGGCGACCGGCGCACGGGUGAGUAACACGUAUCCAACCUGCCGUCUACUCUUGGACAGCCUUCUGAAAGGAAGAUUAAUACAAGAUGGCAUCAUGAGUCCGCAUGUUCACAUGAUUAAAGGUAUUCCGGUAGACGAUGGGGAUGCGUUCCAUUAGAUAGUAGGCGGGGUAACGGCCCACCUAGUCUUCGAUGGAUAGGGGUUCUGAGAGGAAGGUCCCCCACAUUGGAACUGAGACACGGUCCAAACUCCUACGGGAGGCAGCAGUGAGGAAUAUUGGUCAAUGGGCGCAGGCCUGAACCAGCCAAGUAGCGUGAAGGAUGACUGCCCUAUGGGUUGUAAACUUCUUUUAUAAAGGAAUAAAGUCGGGUAUGUAUACCCGUUUGCAUGUACUUUAUGAAUAAGGAUCGGCUAACUCCGUGCCAGCAGCCGCGGUAAUACGGAGGAUCCGAGCGUUAUCCGGAUUUAUUGGGUUUAAAGGGAGCGUAGAUGGAUGUUUAAGUCAGUUGUGAAAGUUUGCGGCUCAACCGUAAAAUUGCAGUUGAUACUGGAUAUCUUGAGUGCAGUUGAGGCAGGCGGAAUUCGUGGUGUAGCGGUGAAAUGCUUAGAUAUCACGAAGAACUCCGAUUGCGAAGGCAGCCUGCUAA
rnacentral:rRNA from 1 species